UGGCCUAUCGAUCCUUUA
rnacentral:snRNA from 1 species